CUACGGGACGCUGCAGUGAGGAAUAUUGCACAAUGGGGGGAACCCUGAUGCAGCAACGCCGCGUGGAGGAUGACGCAUUUCGGUGUGUAAACUCCUUUUAUAUGUCAAGAAAAUGACGGUAGCAUAUGAAUAAGCACCGGCUAACAUCCGUGCCAGCAGCCGCGGUAAUACGGAGGGUGCAAGCGUUACUCGGAAUCACUGGGCGUAAAGGACGCGUAGGCGGGUUGGAAAGUCAGGUGUGAAAUCCUACAGCUUAACUGUAGAACCGCACUUGAAACUUCUAAUCUAGAGUAUGGGAGGGGGAGAUGGAAUUAGUGGUGUAGGGGUAACAUCCGUAGAUAUCACUAGGAAUACCUAAAGCGAAGGCGAUCUCCUGGAACAUUACUGACGCUAAGGCGUGAAAGCGUGGGGAGCAAACAGGAUUAGAUACCCCAGUAGUC
rnacentral:rRNA from 1 species